UACGUAGGGUGCAAGCGUUGUCCGGAAUUAUUGGGCGUAAAGAGCUCGUAGGCGGUUUGUCGCGUCUGCUGUGAAAAGCUGGGGCUUAACCCUGGCCUUGCAGUGGAUACGGGCAGACUAGAGGUAGGUAGGGGAGAAUGGAAUUCCCGGUGUAGCGGUGAAAUGCGCAGAUAUCGGGAGGAACACCGGUGGCGAAGGCGGUUCUCUGGGCCUUACCUGACGCUGAGGAGCGAAAGCGUGGGGAGCGAACAGG
rnacentral:rRNA from 1 species